AUUAAUCAAUUAAUUAGUAUUUAAUGCAAAAUAGAGUAUGACAAAUCUAAAUGGAUUGGUUUUUUAAUUCACUAUGUUCUUUUAUAUAUGUAUUUGGCGCAAUAGGAACGAAAAGGUAUGGGAUGAUACUGAGAAGCCGAUUCCAAUCUUUGUUGCAAUGGCCAAAGAUCAAAUUCUCGAAUGACUUGUACAUUUUAUCUUGUUAGCAUCAAUGGAAGACUAUAAGAUGUAAUUGAGUUUGAUUUGUUGUUGACACGUUAAAAUCUUGUUAUCUUUUUAUCAAAAUUAUAAGAUUAGUUUCAUUAGGAGAUAAGGAAACCUUGUUGCUCAUAUACUUACUAGGGUGUCAAAGGUCUAAUGUUAGUUACCAAACUUUUUAUUUGAGUCCGACGUGGAUUACUCA
rnacentral:lncRNA from 1 species